CUGUUCGCCAUGCCGCGUGUGUGAGAAGGUAUUCGGUAUUGUAAAGCACUUUAAGUUGGGAGGGGGCCCUCCCAAUCACCUUGCUGUAUGACGUUACCAAAGAUGCACCGUCUAACUUCGUGCCAGCAGCCGCGGUAAUACGAAGGGUGCAAGCGUUAAUCGGAAUUACUGGGCGUUUAAAACUAAGGAAGGCGGUUCAGCAAGUUGGAUGUGAAAUCCCCGGGCUCAACCUGGGAACUGCAUCCAAAACUACUGAGCUAGAGUACGUAGAGGGUGGUGGAAUUUCCUGUGUAGCGGUGAAAUGCGUAGAUAUAGGAAGGAACACC
rnacentral:rRNA from 1 species